GACGAACGCUGGCGGCGUGCUUAACACAUGCAAGUCGAACGAGGUCCACUGCGGAGCAAUCCAAGGGAAGACCUAGUGGCGAACGGGUGCGUAACACGUGAGGAACUUGUCCCGGUCUCUGGGAUAACAGUUGGAAACGACUGCUAAUACCGGAUGACGUCGGAGCCCCGCAUGGGGCACUGACGAAAGGGUUACCGGAUCGGGAGAGCCUCGCGGCCUAUCAGCUUGUUGGUGGGGUAACGGCCUACCAAGGCAUCGACGGGUAGCUGGUCUGAGAGGAUGAUCAGCCACACUGGGACUGAGACACGGCCCAGACUCCUACGGGAGGCAGCAGUGGGGAAUCUUGCGCAAUGGGCGAAAGCCUGACGCAGCAACGCCGCGUGCGGGAAGAAGGCUCUCGGGUUGUAAACCGCUUUCAGCAGGAACGAAAAUGACGGUACUUGCAGAAGAAGGUGCGGCCAACUACGUGCCAGCAGCCGCAGUAAAAC
rnacentral:rRNA from 1 species